rnacentral:rRNA from 1 species
GUGAACGCUGGCGGUAGGCCUAACACAUGCAAGUCGAACGGCAGCACAGUAAGAGCUUGCUCUUACGGGUGGCGAGUGGCGGACGGGUGAGGAAUACAUCGGAAUCUACUUUUUCGUGGGGGAUAACGUAGGGAAACUUACGCUAGUACCGCAUACGACCUACGGGUGAAAGCAGGGGAUCUUCGGACCUUGCGCGAUUGAAUGAGCCGAUGUCGGAUUAGCUAGUUGGCGGGGUAAAGGCCCACCAAGGCGACGAUCCGUAGCUGGUCUGAGAGGAUGAUCAGCCACACUGGAACUGAGACACGGUCCAGACUCCUACGGGAGGCAGCAGUGGGGAAUAUUGGACAAAGGGCGCAAGCCUGAUCCAGCCAUACCGCGUGGGUGAAGAAGGCCUUCGGGUUGUAAAGCCCUUUUGUUGGGAAAGAAAAGCAGCAGGUUAAUACCCCGCUGUUCUGACGGUACCCAAAGAAUAAGCACCGGCUAACUUCGUG